CUCCGCAAUGCGCYGAAAGCGCGACGGGGUCAYCCCGAGUGCCGUCCGCUGAGGGCGGCUUUUGCCUGGUUUAACCAGCCGAGUGAAUAAGGGGAGGGCAAGUCUGGUGUCAGCCGCCGCGGUAAUACCAGCUCCUCGAGUGGUUGGGACGAUUAUUGGGUCUAAAGCGUCCGUAGCCGGCCGGAAAAGUUCUCCGUUAAAUCCAACGAUCCAAUCGUUGGGCUGCGGGGAAUACUCUUCGGCUUGGGGGCGAGGGAGGUCGGCGGUAGUCUCGGGGUAGGGGCGAAAUCCUAUAAUCCCGAGAGGACCACCAGUGGCGAAGGCGGCCGACUAAAGCGCGCCCGACGGUGAGGGACGAAAGCUGGGGGAGCGAACGGGAUUAGAUACCCCGGUAGUCCCAGCUGUAAACGAUGCAGGCUAGGUGUUGGGACGGCCACGAGCUGUCCCAGUGCCGCAGGGAAGCCAUUAAGCCUGCCACCUGGGGAGUACGGUCGCAAGGCUGAAUUCUCUUWGAGCAUUCGCUCGAGRGACAGUUGACUUAAAGGAAUUGGCG
rnacentral:rRNA from 1 species